CAGCCGCCGCGGUAAGACAGAGGAUGCAAGCGUUAUCCGGAAUGAUUGGGCGUAAAGCGUCUGUAGGUGGCUUUUCAAGUCCGCCGUCAAAUCCCAGGGCUCAACCCUGGACAGGCGGUGGAAACUACCAAGCUGGAGUACGGUAGGGGCAGAGGGAAUUUCCGGUGUAGCGGUGAAAUGCGUAGAGAUGUGGAGGAACACCAGUGGCGAAAGCACUCUGCUGGGCCGACACUGACACUGAGAGACGAAAGCUAGGGGAGCAAAUGGGAUUAGAUACCCCUGUAGUCCCUGUCUCUUAUAA
rnacentral:rRNA from 1 species